CCUACGGGAGGCAGCAGUGAGGAAUCUUGGGCAAUGGGCGAAAGCCUGACCCAGCGACGCCGCGUGGAGGAAGAAGGCCUUCGGGUCGUAAACUCCUGUUCGGGGAGAAGAACAGGAGGGAAGUGAAUAACUUCUCUCCCUGACGGUAUCCUCGGAGAAAGCUCCGGCUAAUUACGUGC
rnacentral:rRNA from 1 species